GAUACUGGUCUUCUGUGUUUCUUUCUGUGCUUGGCUCUCUUCAUCUACAUGCCACUGUUUGAGCUUUUACCAUGGUAAAUGUGGGUCAGGUGAUAACAUUAAAUCAACAAGAUCCACUGGAAAAUAGAGGCAGGUGAAAACAGCCCAGCUGAGCAGUGAAGAUCACAGGCCUCCAGGACUGGCACGUCUGCAUGGUGAGUGUCGUCAUCCUGCGUGCAAUUUAAACAAACAAAAGAGAGGAGUUGUGCAUAUCUGCCUGGACUGCAUUAGGAUUUGUCUGUUUGAA